UACAGAGGUCCCAAGCGUUGUUCGGAUUCACUGGGCGUAAAGGGCGCGUAGGCGGUGAGGUAAGUCGGAUGUGAAAUCUCCGAGCUUAACUCGGAAAUGGCAUUGGAAACUACCUCGCUAGAGAGUUGGAGGGGGGACUGGAAUACUUGGUGUAGCAGUGAAAUGCGUAGAUAUCAAGUGGAACACCAGUGGCGAAGGCGAGUCCCUGGACAACUUCUGACGCUGAGGCACGAAAGCUAGGGGAGCAAACAGG
rnacentral:rRNA from 1 species